CAAGAACAUAUGUAAGCGAUGUAUGGCAAGUUUAUUUAGGAAUUCAGGAUAAAGUCUAUUUAUUUAAUGGAAACACUGACUUGUAUGGCAAGUUUGUGUAAAAGGAAAAUAAAACCAAUCAUAGUUAGUAACUUCUACUUCUACUAAAAAAACACAUACUAAAUAAAACACAUACUUUACCUGAUUGAGUAGCAACCCUUUUUCUCCUGUUUUGGUUCAACACUGACUAGCAACACCUACCUACCUCAGAACAUCACAAUUUCAUAAUAACAAAAUAGCAAUGGAAAAAAAAAUGGAAAUUCUUACCCUUUUCCUUACCAUUUUUCCAUACUAUAAAAAGUAAAUACUAAAUCAAAAGAGGCAAAAACAAAUUAAUAUCUUACUUACAAGCAUAGGAAUGUUGAUGUACCUGCAAAGACACUCCUAACAGAUUAUGGAUUCAAAAUAAUAUUUUUAAAGAAAAUAACAUAACCUACCUUUUACCUUUUCAUAAUAAACCUCUUACCUUUACCUUUUCAUAAUAAAUCUCUAACAGAUCAAUUUCACAAUUUCAUAAUAAACCUCUUACCUUUUCACUCACCCAUUUUCAUAUAGAAAGGAAUCAUCAUCGAAGUGACAUCAAAAUACGUAUUUUUCUUUUUCUUUCGUUUUCCCUGGCUUCAGCGGUGUUCUGAUUCCUUCGAUACUCAACCAACAACAAUUCUCCCUCUUGAAUGAUUUUAUCCAUCAAGUGUNNNNNNNNNNNUGGUGAUCGGAGUACGAGGUGUGGAUGGCGAAAUGGGAGUACGAGGUGUGGUGAUCGGAGGAGUACACGGCGGUGAAUCCAUGAAGUGAGAGAGAGAUUUGAUUAGGGCGAAAUCAAUGAACAAAAGAAACGGCGAGCGAAAUCAAUCAAUCAAUCUAUUGAGAGAAUAGAAAGAUAAAGUGAUCAGAGCUUUGAUCAACAAAAGAAACAGCGAGCGAAUUCAAUCAAACUAUGAGAGUGAAUAGAAAUAGAAACUCAGAGAGAGCUUUGAUCAACAAAAGAAUUCAAUCAAUCAAAUCUAUGAGAGAGAAUAGAAAUAGAAUGUGG
rnacentral:lncRNA from 1 species